UACGGAGGAUCCGAGCGUUAUCCGGAUUUAUUGGGUUUAAAGGGUGCGUAGGCGGCCUAUUAAGUCAGGGGUGAAAGACGGUAGCUUAACUAUCGCAGUGCCUUUGAUACUGAUGGGCUUGAAUGUAGUUGAGGUAGGCGGAAUGUGACAAGUAGCGGUGAAAUGCAUAGAUAUGUCACAGAACACCAAUUGCGAAGGCAGCUUACUAAAGUAUGAUUGACGCUGAGACACGAAAGCGUGGGGAUCAAACAGG
rnacentral:rRNA from 1 species